ensembl:lncRNA
UGAGACACAAUGGGAAGUCCCCUCAAUUAAAUUCCAUUUGUGCUCAACACAGGCAGGAUCUCUUUCUGUUAUUCUCACCCAAGACCCUGAACAGUACAACAAUCUUGGAGAAAUUUUAAUUUGGAACUAUCAGGGAUACUAGCUGUACCAAGCAACUGCACAUUUUUAUUGCGAUUUGUUCAAUGCUGAGGUUCACAGAGACAUCACACUAACUUCAUUCCAGAUGUACAUAAUAACAUCGACAUAAUCAUAUGUUCUACCAAAAAUUAAGAUUGUAAGGUUAAGAUUAGAGAGUUCCCUUCCUCAGAAUAUUCUUCUUCAGAUCCGAUCACAGUUUCUCCAGAUGUUUAUUAAGCAUACAUUUCCUUUAUAAUCUGCUUCCAAAUGCAAGCCAGCUUCUGUCUUUGCUGCUGCUCAGCUGUAUUAUUAUGUGGGUCACAGUCAACUCUCCACAUUUUCACUAUCUAAUUAUUGUUUAUGGUUUUACUUUGGAUCCUGUACUUCAAUUACCUUCUCUAUAUUGAACAAACAUACUAAAUUUCACUCUAUUUAUUAUAUCUUCCAUAAAUUGUAUCGCCCAUCUAGGAUAAUGGGUAUUGCUUGCACAUUUGUAACAUUUCAAAUAGCCUAAAUUUCUUGAUAGCUUAAGUGUAGGGUGUGCUACUGUGGGGCUUGAAUACUACAUAUUGGAAAAAUGAUAGACUUCUUGAGUUCUCCUAGCUGUGUGUUUUUAUAUUAAAGUUAAUUUCCCCCUUGGUAGAGACUGCCACACAGCCAUGACUAUAUCAUUGAAAAGUCUAUGAAAUAAAGGCAAACUAUCCUCUCAACUUAAAACUCUUAAACAUUUCCAUUUUAAGGGAAAAUUAUAACUACAAAGAAAGCCAAAUUUGCAAAGAGAAAUGUCAUUAGCAGUGGUUAGGGAGGGGUGUGUGUAUGUCAUUUCUUCCUUUGAAGGGACAGAAAAACCUGGCUACAGGGACUCAGAGCCUCAUAUCCUCCUCCUCAUCCUUGAGACUCAUAAAGGCAGAUAUGUAACUGCCAGGAAGUCCCAGCGCUGCCUAUUAUAAACCCUAAUCAGUUAGAACUGAUUACUCAACUCUGGUCAUUUUCAUCUACAAACAAAUUCACAAGUUUCCCAGACAAAUAUGGAUGGGCUGGCAAAUUUAAAUUUCAAAUGAAAAAAUACCUUCCUGUAAUGAGUUCACAUACCUUUUAUUUAGACUUCCAAAUGCCAGCAUAAUGUGAUUAGUUUUGAUGUUGUUUCUUUCCACCAUUUAUGAGAAAUCACAUCAUCAAUCAUAUUAUCAAAAUUAGAUGUGGAGAAGACCUAGCAUGUCACCAGGGCCCUCCUCUGUGCCAGUGCAGGCUUGUUUUAGCCAGUCUGCUGUACUUUUUAAUAUUUUCUUCAAUCUAAUAUUAAACUUCCCCUGUGCUCAUGCAUCUACCAUUUCCAUUGCAAUGACAGAAGUAUAAAGAAUGAGAGUUAGUUUUCUUAAGAGGAUGCGUUGAUGUUUAUCUUCUCCAGCUUUUCAAUAAAGCAUGCUCCAUGAUGAACAUUUAGGAAAUAAAGAUAAAUUCAAUAUAUUGUGAUCAAUAAUUUCAAUUAUGUUCAAUAAUUUUCUCUAAUACUGCAUAGAAUUUGCAUGUGUUUAUGCAAAUUAUACACAUUAUAGUAGUUAUUGUUACAGGAGUAAUGGUCUUUUUUUGUUUGUUUUUAUGGCCGCACCUGUGGCAUAUGGAGAUUCUCAGACUAUGAGUCGAAUGGGAGCUUCAUCUUCUCUCCCGUGCCACAGUCUCAGCAAUGCUGGAUCCAAUGCUUAACCCACUGAGCGAGGCCGGGGAUCAAACCCAUAUCCUCAUUGACACUAUGUUAGGUUCUUAACUCACUAAGCCAAAAUGGGAAUUCCAGAGUAACAUUCUUUUAACAAAAACUUAUUGGGUUUUCUUUAUAGGACUUCAAUUUGUAAUACGUGUGUGUGUAUAUUCAUACAUAUACAUAUAAAAUAUAUGUACAUUUUAUAUCAUACAUAUAUUCAUUUCAUGCUUAUAAAAUCAGUUUAUUAAGAGUUUAUCAAGUGGUUUUGACUUGUUCAGGUAUGCAUAUGAAAUACUUCUAUUUUUAUCCAGUAUCUGUCUUCAAACUUGUUCUGUCAAAUUUUCUUCUCACAUCCCUCAAUAAAAAUUUGUGUACAUUUUGAUUAUUAAAAUUUCACUCUGGAUUACAAUUUUGAACUCAAGUAUAGGAGCGUAGAUACUGGAGCCAUAUUCUAUUGAUUUCAUCCAAGACUCACCAACUACUUGUUUUAGUUUCUUGAGUUAGUUUCUUAAACUUAAAUGGGCUUCAUUUCCUCUGCAAUCACAUGGAAAUAAUAAAAUAAUCUACAUUACAUGGCUCUUCUAUACGUGGAGAACUUGGAAUAUUGACUGGCACAAAGUGAAAGAAAAAAAUACUAGCUAUUAAAAUUAAUUAUUUUCAUUAUCAUCAUUUUAUGACUUCCCUCAAUACAAACUUAUGCCUCAAAGGGAUCUGAAUUUGGGCAGGGCCAUCAUUUUCCCCCUUCAUUCUAUUCUAGAAUCUGCCUCUUUUCAAAUCCCCAGGAAUGAAGAAUGGGAAGGGAAAUAAGUGAGAAUGGCAACAUUUCUCAGACUUGGGUGUGGGAAGUUUCCCUAAUCUCACGCUGACUUAGUUCCUUCCAUUCAUUGUUGGUGUCUCUGUCAAUGGAUUGGUCUCCACAAGGAGAGUAAGUGUGGUUCCACUGAGGCAGUGAUCAGCUUUAACCUAACACUUUCUAUUAUGGUUAGCACAUUUAGAGAGGGCAGUCAGGCCUCUCUUCCACUCUGACCAGCAAUUCAUGCCUCCAACAUGUUCUCUUAGUUUAGAACACUUGGCCAGCCAGGGUAUCUGAUUCUACCUCAAAGCAUUGGGCUCUUUAAAGCCCAGAAUAGCUGUUUUCUUUAUCAAUGCUGUUUGAGGGAUACUAGAAACUGGGAUGGGGUGGAAAGUUGUCCCGUCCUCUUCCAGAGCAUACUAUAACCCUUUUUGUCAUGGUGUCAAAAGCAAGUCUCUCAUCUUCAGAAAUUUCCAAACAAUAACCAAACCCUAGUCUCUAUGCUCUUAUAAGCCCCUACCCUUCAGAAAAUGCAAGUGGUUCUAUCCCAACGAAUUUUACUUACACUUUGAUUGACUCUAGUUAAUCAACCAUUUUCAAGGGAACAAAUACAUAAGUCCUUUCCCCUUUCAGACAAUGCCAUACUCUAACCCCAAGAGUUAGCUUUGAGAAGGAAUAGAGGAAGACUUUCUAACCAUAGACACUACCUCCCUUAGAAUAUCAACUAACUUUUCCUCUUUCCAGUAUAACUUUUUUACCAGAAACACAUAAUGGAGUGUUUUGGUUUUGGCAACUGGUAUUAGGGCCUGUUCUGCUGCCUUAAAAUAAGACCUGGCAGGGGCUGUCAGGAUAUAGCUGUUGCAAGUUCUAUUUUGCAUGGACUGAACUCAAUACCAGUUUUUCUUCAGCUUUGGGCCUCAUGCACUAAACAUAGGGAAAAAGGAAAACCCACACUCAAUUUUGUGUUCUACAUUUAUGUGCAGCAUAUAAAUCUCGCUAUGCAAUCAUUAAGCAUAUGUCAUGUAUUUGUGCAGAUUCGUACCAACAUUUUAAAAACUAUUAGAUGGCCAGCCUUGCAGUAGACUCUUUACAUAGGUUCCAUGCCUAAUCAUAAAAACAAUGCUAUUAAUACUUUUAAACAGAAGAGAGAGCUGAAGCUGAAGAGGUUUAGUAUUUGUUCUCAAUGACAUGAUCAAUGAGUAAUAGGAUAAAGACUUAGACCCUAGUUCCAAAAUUCUGAUUUAGUGUAGCACUUUCAUAUAUAUAUUUGACAACAGUAAUAUAUGAGGAUACAUUUUAAAAAUUCUAUAGCUUAUGCCCUAUAACUAGUAUUUAUAUUCUGAGAUUCACAUAAAUGAAUCAAGUCCAAGAAUCAAAUCAACGUACUUGGUUCAGCUGAAUUUCUCAGUGGCCUUUAGUAAGCUUAGCAUCUAUAGCCUCUUAGGACAUAACAUUUGAAAAUGUAGUUUCUGUGUUCUCAGGCACCAUAAUCACCAUAAAAAUGAACAUAAGACCAAAUCUCUGUCUUUUUUUUCAUGGUUUUGGAGGCUGGAAGUUCAAGGUCAGAUUUCCAGGCAUGGUAAGAGACUGGGGAAGGCCCUGUCCCAAGUUGCAGAUUGCUAAUUUCUCACUCUGUACUCACAUAGGGAAGGCAGGAGGGAUCUCUGUGGGGUCUUUUUUAAAUGAACACACAUCCCCCUCAGUGGCCCCCAUUUAUGUGCAGAAUUAACACUCCCAGGUGGUGUAGAGAGGUCUUAAUACUCUGGCCUUGCUUUCCUUCUAAAAUAGUCAUCACCUUCUCUCUAUGCCAUACUCAUAACCCUCAGUAUUUCUUGCCUUGUGUCUUUGUGGCCAAGUAGCUGAUGUCCAUCUAAGUUCACAUUCCUCCUUACAGAAUAUAUAGUUAUCAAUAGGAUGUGGAUUCCCAGACAAGGUCUAUGUUUCUCCAUCCAUUUGCAUCAAGGUACAAUGUGAAACCAGUUUUUACCCAGGGAACGUGAACAGAAGUGAUUGGUACCACUUCUCAGCUCAACCUGUUAGAAGGAGAUGUUCCUUCUCCAAGCUCUUUCUUUCCUCUUCCACUUGCUGGAUACAGAGUACUUGGAAUGCUGAGGGAUACUGGAGUUACCAGUUGGAAGGACCCUUUGUUUUAGAAAUGUCAUUAAACAUAGUAAAUUCCCAAUCAGGAAUAGGCACUGUGGAUUUUAGUGGGAGUGAGAAAUUAAUUUCUAUUUUGUUAAGGUCCUAAAAAUUUAGGAUAUAUGUUUAGUUAAGUAACGGGUAUUACUUAAUCAAUAUUUUGUUCCAUCUGUCCAAUCUAUGUAGCAUGGUCUCUCCACUACGCGUACCCAUCAUUCAAAGAUGAGCUUAAAAUCAAUUUCUUUUCCUCCUGAAUUUCCUCCUGAAUUCCUUAGUUACAGUUAAUAUGUCCCCUCUUUACAUUUCCCUAGCUGUUUGGCUUAUGUUAUAAUUAAUUCUCUCCAGGGACGUAUUCACCACUAAAUUAUGAGCUUCUAUGGGUAGAAACUCUAUCUUAAUCACUCUGUACCCUCCAGAGUGUCAAACAUAGUAUCUCACAAACAGUAGGUGCUCAAUAAAUGUCUGUUACAUUAAACCUAAUGAAAUCGAAUUCAUAUAUCUGAAUGAUUAAUAUGUUUCUUUCAUGCAAGAUCUUAGGGCUGGUAUAAAAAAAGAAAUCUAUUACUUCAGCCUGACUCUUUAACUUGGCAGAUUAGAGUGAAAUAAAAAUGUGUCCCGGACAAAAUGAAAAUGCAUUGUUUUACAUAAGAUAUAGCAAUUUUGAGAAAUAUAUUGAUUUAAUGUACUUAGGCCAGUGAAAAAUCUGUUGGUUUAAGCUAACUGCCAUUAGUUUCAAUUAAAAUGUAUUGAUUUUGGUAAAUGUUGGUUAGGAUGAAUGUUGCCUGACUGUGGGGGAAAAAAAAAACAAAAAAAA